GAUGAACGCUGGCGGCGUGCCUAAUACAUGCAAGUAGAACGCUGAAGCUUGGUGCUUGCACCGAGCGGAAGAGUUGCGAACGGGUGAGUAACGCGUAGGUAACCUGCCUCUUAGCGGGGGAUAACUAUUGGAAACGAUAGCUAAUACCGCAUAAAAGUCGGCAUUGCAUGAUGUUGACUUGAAAGGUGCAACUGCAUCACUAAGAGAUGGACCUGCGUUGUAUUAGCUAGUUGGUGAGGUAACGGCUCACCAAGGCGACGAUACAUAGCCGACCUGAGAGGGUGAUCGGCCACACUGGGACUGAGACACGGCCCAGACUCCUACGGGAGGCAGCAGUAGGGAAUCUUCGGCAAUGGACGGAAGUCUGACCGAGCAACGCCGCGUGAGUGAAGAAGGUUUUCGGAUCGUAAAGCUCUGUUGUAAGAGAAGAACGAGUGUGAGAGUGGAAAGUUCACACUGUGACGGUAACUUACCAGAAAGGGACGGCUAACUACGUGCCAGCAGCCGCGGUAAUACGUAGGUCCCGAGCGUUAUCCGGAUUUAUUGGGCGUAAAGCGAGCGCAGGCGGUUAGAUAAGUCUGAAGUUAAAGGCUGUGGCUUAACCAUAGUACGCUUUGGAAACUGUUUAACUUGAGUGCAGAAGGGGAGAGUGGAAUUCCAUGUGUAGCGGUGAAAUGCGUAGAUAUAUGGAGGAACACCGGUGGCGAAAGCGGCUCUCUGGUCUGUAACUGACGCUGAGGCUCGAAAGCGUGGGGAGCAAACAGG
rnacentral:rRNA from 2 species